GCAAACUUGGUCAUUUAGAGGAAGUAAAAGUCGUAACAAGGUUUCCGUAGGUGAACCUGCGGAAGGAUCAUUAACGUAUCUCUGGCGGGCGCUCGCCGCCCCGCUCCGGCUCGGCCGUGCAGCGGGCGGUCGGCCCCGUCCAACCUUCACAAACCCACCGUGCACAUUUGCGGCGGAAGGGCGCCCUCCGGGUGCUCGGAAGCCGCUUCUACAAACUCUGAACCUGAUGAAUGAUCAGCGGCCUCUGCGUCGCCUAAAUUUGAAACAACUUUCAACAACGGAUCUCUUGGCUCUCGCAUCGAUGAAGAACGCAGC
rnacentral:misc_RNA from 1 species